ACGGGAGGCAGCAGUCGGGAAUAUUGCGCAAUGGAGGAAACUCUGACGCAGUGACGCCGCGUAUAGGAAGAAGGUCUUAGGAUUGUAAACUAUUUUAGUCAGGGAAGAAAAAGACGGUACCUGAAGAAUAAGCUCCGGCUAACUACGUGCCAGCAGCCGCGGUAAUACGUAGGGAGCAAGCGUUAUCCGGAAUUAUUGGGUGUAAAGGGUGCGUAGACGGGAAUUUAAGUUGGUUGUGAAAUCCCUCGGCUCAACUGAGGAACUGCAACCAAAACUGAAUUUCUUGAGUGCAGGAGAGGAAAGCGGAAUUCCUAGUGUAGCGGUGAAAUGCGUAGAUAUUAGGAGGAACACCAGUGGCGAAGGCGGCUUUCUGGACAGUAACUGACGUUGAGGCACGAAAGUGUGGGGAGCAAACAGGAUUAGAUACCCUGGUA
rnacentral:rRNA from 1 species